CUCCAGCAUUUGAAUAGUCACCUUGCCAGGAGGACAUGAGGUCUUGGCCCAGACCUCCUGAGUGCCAGGCUCAAAAGACUUGUCGCUGCCACUGUCCAAAGUCCUCCUGGUUUGUGCUGCAGAUCAAGGGGCAGAAACAACUACAGAUGGCAAACAUUAGGGCCCUUGGGAAUUCUCUGAGUGCCCCUCCAUCUGAAGAGAACAGGAGGGAAGCAGAGGCAGCAAGAAUGCAGGGGGAUCAUUUCAUCACGGACCUUUGGAGUGUGGAGGAGGAGGGGAACUGGAGGAAACAGCCGAGUGGGGCUUUUCAAGGUGUUCCAGACAAUCCAGCUAAGAUGACAACCUACAUACAAGCCCCCAUCAGAUAUGUCAAAGAAGUUUGGAGGAGGUGGCUGGCUCUGAGUGGGAAAUAGAGUGGGAGGUGCAGAGAAGUUUGGAGGAGGUGGCUAGCUCUGAGUGGGUAACAGAGUGGGAGGAGCAGAGAAGUUUGGAGGAGGUGGCUGGCUCUGAGUGGGAAACAGAGUGGGAGGAGCAGAGAAGUUUGGAGGAGGUGGCUGGCUCUGAGUGGGAAACAGAGUGGGAGGAGCAGAGGAAGGGGGAUGAUGAGCAGAUGGAUGCUGAGCAGAGGAAGAAGGAGGAGGGACCAAGGAA